UCUAAACUCACUCUUGUCCAUUCUUGGUUUACUUCAUGAAACUUUUGAUGUGUGUGCUUUUGUGCUAGGGGAUUCUAUGAGCUCAAAAUAAAGGACCAUUGCCAUGUUCAUUCAAAGUGAAGGACAAGAUACCUUGGGGAUCUCCUAAGAGACAUGUUUGAUUUCUUGAGCUUACUAUUAUUGUGAUUGCUUAUUCCAAAGGACGGGAGCUAUUUGGAUCAUCCAUAUGAUCUCAAGAGAGGGACUCCAUUGUGGUUUUGAUUCUUCAUCCCUUCUCUUUUUGCUUUGCUUGGGACUUUAGCCCUUCU
rnacentral:lncRNA from 1 species